rnacentral:lncRNA from 1 species
CAAUUCUCUACCCAACUCUCCCCUGAGUUCUGAUUAUUGUGUCAAAACUACUCACAGAAUGCUGGUUCCUGGUAUUCCACAGACUGUAAUGCAAUUGAAGGAUUGAAGGUAGGGACUGAACCUCAUGCAUCUGUGAGUUCACAGCAUCUACAAAGCUUGGUGUGCAGUUGUAGGGAUGUAUAUGUGAACUCUUGGUUAGCGGAGUGCAAAAACACUGAAUUUAAAUUUAAAAGAUGAAGCUUAGGUGUUGACUCCAUCAUUUAUCAGCUGUGUGACUUUGGUGAUGACAGAUCAUGUGACAGAUUAGACCUGGAAGCCCAUGAGAAGUGUACGUGGACUCUUUUUCUCCACUUGGAUAUCUUUAUAGUGUACAUUUUCUCAAUCGUGUUCAGACAUUUUCAGAACUUGACAAUCCCAGAGGCA